UUUUCCAAGAGGAAAGUCCGGGCUCCGCAGAGCAAAGAGGGCAGCUAACGGCUGCUGAGAGUAAUCUUAAGGAAAGUGCCACAGAAAACAGACCGCCCUUUAUAAGGGUAAGGGUGAAAAGGUGGUGUAAGAGACCACCGGUUUUUUAGGAAACUAAAAAAGCCAGGUAAACCCCCUCUGGAGCAAGACUAAAUUGGAAAGGUUAAGGGCUGCUCGUCCGGCUUUCAGGGUAAGUUGCUUGAACUUUUAAGUAAUUAAAAGUCUAGAUAAAUGAUUAGCACAUACAAAACCCGGCUUAUAUGGUGCCUG
rnacentral:RNase_P_RNA from 1 species